UACGUAGGGGGCAAGCGUUGUCCGGAUUUAUUGGGCGUAAAGAGCGUGUAGGCGGCUUUGCAAGUCCGUUGUGAAAACUCGAGGCUCAACCUCGAGACGCCGGUGGAAACUGCAAAGCUAGAGUCCGGAAGAGGAGAGUGGAAUUCCUGGUGUAGCGGUGAAAUGCGCAGAUAUCAGGAAGAACACCCGUGGCGAAGGCGGCUCUCUGGUACGUGACUGACGCUGAGACGCGAAAGCGUGGGGAGUGAACAGG
rnacentral:rRNA from 1 species